CUACAAGCCUUUGAUCCUAAGGAGGUCAAGAGGCAGAGGAUAACUCUAGAGCUGCAUUAAUUUCUGAUGAACGUAGGAAUGAAUUGAACAAGAGACGUUGUGAGUCGUACAACACAAAGAAAGGGCAAGCAUUCACAUUUAUGCAUAUCAGUAAAAAAAGAUAUUGGACCUGGAAUAGAGAGGGGAGAUCAACAGACAAGCCACGUUGUGACUUGCUCAAGAUGUUAGAGCUGUUAGAGCGGCUGCCUGGAUGAAGGUAGUACGGUAGCUCUGGCAGAAGCCAGGGAAGGUGGAUCCGGCAUGGCGCAACUCAGAGCGGAGGAGGACAGGGCGGAAUGGAAUGGAUCCGAUGUGGUGGUGCGGUGCAAGGCGCAUGGAGAGGUUGGGCAGCACGGAGGAGGCCGCUUCUGCUGGCCCUAGGCGAGCUCGAGCCCUAGCAAUCUCUGUUCACUGAAUUUACCUCAGCUAUAUGGAGCCUCAUCCAGUGAAAACUGUUGCUAAGGGUUUGAAGAGGUACUGGAAAGAAAAUUGUGAUCUCAUCUUUGAGGGUACAAGUGGAAGUCACAG